rnacentral:rRNA from 1 species
ACGGAAGGCAGCAGUGGGGAGUAUUGCACAAUGGGCGAAAGCCUGAUGCAGCAACGCCGCGUGAGUGAAGAAGUAUUUCGGUAUGUAAAGCUCUAUCGAUGGGGAAUAAAAUGAAGGUACCCAAGUAAGAAGCCCCGGCUAACUACGUGCCAGCAGCCGCGGUAAUACGUAGGGGGCAAGCGUUAUCCGGAUUUACUGGGUGUAAAGGGAGCGUAGACGGUUUGGCAAGUCUGAAGUGAAAUGCGGGGGCUCAACUCCUGAACUGCUUUGGAAACUGUCGAACUAGAGUGCAGGAGAGGUAAGUGGAAUUCCUAGUGUAGCGGUGAAAUGCGUAGAUAUUAGGAGGAACACCAGUGGCGAAGGCGGCUUACUGGACUGUAACUGACGUUGAGGCUCGAAAGCGUGGGGAGCAAACAGGAUUAGAUACCCUGGUA